GACGAACGCUGGCGGCGUGCUUAACACAUGCAAGUCGAGCGGAAAGGCCCUGCUUUUGUGGGGUGCUCGAGUGGCGAACGGGUGAGUAACACGUGAGUAACCUGCCCUUGACUUUAGGAUAACUUCAGGAAACUGGGGCUAAUACCGGAUAGGAGCUCCUGCUGCAUGGUGGGGGUUGGAAAGUUUCGGCGGUUGGGGAUGGACUCGCGGCUUAUCAGCUUGUUGGUGGGGUAGUGGCUUACCAAGGCUUUGACGGGUAGCCGGCCUGAGAGGGUGACCGGCCACAUUGGGACUGAGAUACGGCCCAGACUCCUACGGGAGGCAGCAGUGGGGAAUAUUGCACAAUGGGCGGAAGCCUGAUGCAGCAACGCCGCGUGCGGGAUGACGGCCUUCGGGUUGUAAACCGCUUUCGCCUGUGACGAAGCGUGAGUGACGGUAAUGGGUAAAGAAGCACCGGCUAACUACGUG
rnacentral:rRNA from 1 species